rnacentral:rRNA from 1 species
GAUCAUGGCUCAGGAUGAACGCUAGCUACAGGCUUAACACAUGCAAGUCGAGGGGCAUCAUGACUGAGGUUUACCUUAGUUGAUGGCGACCGGCGAAUGGGUGAGUAACACGUAUCCAACCUGCCCGUUACUGGAGGAUAGCCCUCCGAAAGGCGGAUUAAUACCGUAUGAGGUCACAUGCGGGCAUCUAAGUGUGACGAAAGGUUUAGCGGACAAGGAUGGGGAUGCGUCCGAUUAGCUUGACGGCGGGGUAACGGCCCACCGUGGCUACGAUCGGUAGGGGUUCUGAGAGGAAGGUCCCCCACAUUGGAACUGAGACACGGUCCAAACUCCUACGGGAGGCAGCAGUGAGGAAUAUUGGUCAAUGGACGGGAGUCUGAACCAGCCAAGUAGCGUGCAGGAUGACGGCCCUAUGGGUUGUAAACUGUCUUUUGUGCGGGGAUAAAGUGUGGGACGUGUCCCAUAUUGCAGGUACCGCAUGAAUAAGGACCGGCUAAUUCCGUG